GACGAACGCUGGCGGCGUGCCUAAUACAUGCAAGUCGAACGAACCGCGACUAGGUGCUUGCACUUGGUCAAGGUGAGUGGCGAACGGGUGAGUAACACGUGGGUAACCUACCUCAUAGUGGGGGAUAACAGUCGGAAACGACUGCUAAUACCGCAUAGGACAUGGGAUCACAUGAUUCUGUGAGGAAAGGUGGCGCAAGCUAUCGCUAAGAGAUGGACCCGCGGUGCAUUAGCUAGUUGGUAGGGGAACGGCCUACCAAGGCGAUGAUGCAUAGCCGACCUGAGAGGGUGAUCGGCCACAUUGGGACUGAGACACGGCCCAAACUCCUACGGGAGGCAGCAGUAGGGAAUCUUCCGCAAUGGACGCAAGUCUGACGGAGCAACGCCGCGUGAGUGAAGAAGGUCUUCGGAUCGUAAAGCUCUGUUGUUAGAGAAGAACAGCGCAUAGAGUAACUGUUAUGCGUGUGACGGUAUCUAACCAGAAAGCCACGGCUAACUACGUG
rnacentral:rRNA from 1 species